UACGGAGGGGGCAAGCGUUAUUCGGAAUUAUUGGGCGUAAAGGGCGCGUAGGCGGCUAGAUGUGUCAAAGGUGAAAUCCCUCGGCUCAACUGAGGAACUGCCUUUGAAACUGUCUGGCUUGAGGCCGGGAGAGGGGAGCGGAAUUCCUGGUGUAGCGGUGGAAUGCGCAGAUAUCAGGAGGAACACCGAUGGCGAAGGCAGAUCUCUGGGCCGUAACUGACGCUGAGGAGCGAAAGCGUGGGGAGCGAACAGG
rnacentral:rRNA from 1 species